UUGGGUGUAGCUCAGUGAUUGAGGAUGUGCUUAGUAUGUGCAAGUCCCUAGGUUCAAUUCCUAGCACCAAAA
rfam:Ictidomys tridecemlineatus contig054177, whole genome shotgun sequence.